rnacentral:rRNA from 1 species
UACGGAGGGCGCGAGCGUUGUCCGGAAUCACUGGGCGUAAAGGGCGCGUAGGCGGCCCUGGUAAGUCUGCGGUGAAAGCCCGGGGCUCAACCCCGGGUCGGCCGCGGGUACUGCCGGGCUGGAGUGCCGUAGGGGCAGGCGGAAUUCCGGGUGUAGCGGUGGAAUGCGUAGAGAUCCGGAAGAACACCGGUGGCGAAGGCGGCCUGCUGGGCGGCGACUGACGCUGAGGAGCGAAAGCGUGGGGAGCGAACAGG